rnacentral:rRNA from 1 species
CUCUUUGCUGGCGACCGGCGCACGGGUGAGUAACACGUAUCCAACCUGCCCUUUACUCGGGGAUAGCCUUUCGAAAGAAAGAUUAAUACCCGAUGGCAUAAUGAUUCCGCAUGGUUUCAUUAUUAAAGGAUUCCGGUAAAGGAUGGGGAUGCGUUCCAUUAGGUUGUUGGUGAGGUAACGGCCCACCAAGCCUUCGAUGGAUAGGGGUUCUGAGAGGAAGGUCCCCCACAUUGGAACUGAGACACGGUCCAA